UACGUAGGGUGCGAGCGUUAAUCGGAAUUACUGGGCGUAAAGCGUGCGCAGGCGGUUCGUUAAGUUCGUUGUGAAAGCCCCGGGCUCAACCUGGGAACUGCAAUGGAAACUGGCGGGCUUGAAUGCGGCAGAGGGGGGUGGAAUUCCGCGUGUAGCAGUGAAAUGCGUAGAGAUGCGGAGGAACACCGAUGGCGAAGGCAGCCCCCUGGGCCGUACCUGACGCUAAAGCGCGACAGCAUGGGGAGCAAACGGG
rnacentral:rRNA from 1 species